CCGCGCAGCCCUACACAGCAAGUCGACGGUAGCACAGAGAGCUUGCUCUCGGGUGAACGAACGGCGGACGGUUGAGGUAAUGUCUGGAAACUGCCUGAUUGGAGGGGGAUAACCUACUGGGAAACGGUAGCUAAUACCGCAUAACGUCGCAAGACCAAAGUGGGGGACCUUCGGGCCUCAUGCCAUCAGAUGUGCCCAGAUGGGAUUAGCUGGUAGGUGGGGUAACGGCUCACCUAGGCGACGAUCCCUAGCUGGUCUGAGAGGAUGACCAGCCACACUGGAACUGAGACACGGUCCAGACUCCUACGGGAGGCAGCAGUGGGGAAUAUUGCACAAUGGGCGCAAGCCUGAUGCAGCCAUGCCGCGUGUGUGAAGAAGGCCUUCGGGUUGUAAAGCACUUUCAGCGGGGAGGAAGGCGAUGAGGUUAAUAACCUCGAUCGAUUGACGUUACCCGCAGAAGAAGCACCGGCUAACUCCGUGCCAGCAGCCGCGGUAAUACGGAGGGUGCAAGCGUUAAUCGGAAUUACUGGGCGUAAAGCGCACGCAGGCGGUCUGUCAAGUCGGAUGUGAAAUCCCCGGGCUCAACCUGGGAACUGCAUUCGAAACUGGCAGGCUAGAGUCUUGUAGAGGGGGGUAGAAUUCCAGGUGUAGCGGUGAAAUGCGUAGAGAUCUGGAGGAAUACCGGUGGCGAAGGCGGCCCCCUGGACAAAGACUGACGCUCAGGUGCGAAAGCGUGGGGAGCAAACAGGAUUCAGGAUACCCUGGGUAGUCCAACGCUGUAACGGAUGUCGAUUUUGGAGGGUUGGUGCCCUUAGGGCGUGGCUUCGGAGCUUAACGCGUU
rnacentral:rRNA from 1 species